CCUACGGGUGGCAGCAGUGGGGAAUAUUGGACAAUGGGCGAAAGCCUUAUCCAGCCAUGCCGCGUGUGUGAAGAAGGCCUUCGGGUUGUAAAGCACUUUCAGUGGGGAAGAAAGCCUUGGGGCUAAUACCCUCGAGGAAGGACAUCACCCACAGAAGAAGCACCGGCUAACUCCGUGCCAGCAGCCGCGGUAAUACGGAGGGUGCGAGCGUUAAUCGGAAUUACUGGGCGUAAAGCGCGCGUAGGCGGUCUGAUAAGCCGGUUGUGAAAGCCCCGGGCUCAACCUGGGAACGGCAUCCGGAACUGUCAGGCUAGAGUGCAGGAGAGGAAGGUAGAAUUCCCGGUGUAGCGGUGAAAUGCGUAGAGAUCGGGAGGAAUACCAGUGGCGAAGGCGGUCUUCUGGACUGACACUGACGCUGAGGUGCGAAAGCGUGGGUAGCAAACAGGAUUAGAUACCCCGGUAGUC
rnacentral:rRNA from 1 species